rnacentral:lncRNA from 10 species
CCUGAGGGAAGAGGAAGAAGGCAGCGGCUUCGCGUCCCGCCUCUCGCCUGGCUGGCCAUGGGCGGCCUGGACGCGGUUCCCUUGUCCUCCCCGGCGGCCUCUCGAAUCUCCCAGGAAUCCUAAUGUCACCCGAGGAUGCUGGGAGGAACGCUGAGCCGACCUCUCCAUUGGGCUAAAGACUGCACAAACCAUGAUAAUGGCCAGCAAGGAUGGAGGGAGCGUAUGAGAUGUGCCGGGCAGUGUGCUACGUCUCAGCCAACUCUAGGAGGACCUGGCACUGGACUCCGGGCCGCCCCUGCCCCUGGUCCGUCAGUGUUGCUCAAACUAGAAACAGACAGAAGCCACUGGAAGACAGACAGAGCCGCUGACCUAAGCCCAAAGCCAAGAUUCUGA